AUGCCGCGUGUGUGAAGAAGGCCUGAGGGUUGUAAAGCACUUUCAGUGGGGAGGAGGAUAGCAUGGUUAAGAGCUGAGCUAUUGGACGUUACCUACAGAAGAAGCACCGGCUAACUCCGUGCCAGCAGCCGCGGUAAUACGGAGGGUGCGAGCGUUAAUCGGAAUUACUGGGCGUAAAGGGUGCGUAGGUGGUUAAAUAAGUUAGAUGUAAAAACCCUGGGCUUAACCUAGGACUGAGAUUUAAUACUGUUUAACUAGAGUAUGGGAGAGGGUAGUGGAAUUUCCGGUGUAGCGGUGAAAUGCGUAGAGAUCGGAAGGAACACCAGUGGCGAAGGCGGCUACCUGGCCUAAUACUGACACUGAGGCACGAAAGCGUGGGGAGCAAACAGGAUUAGAUACCCUGGUAGUCCACGCUGUAAACGAUGUCAACUAGCC
rnacentral:rRNA from 1 species